UGGGGAAUAUUGCACAAUGGAGGGAACUCUGAUGCAGCAACGCCGCGUGCGGGAUGACGGCCUUCGGGUUGUAAACCGCUUUCAGCCAUGACGAAGCUUUUGUGACGGUAGUGGUAGAAGAAGCACCGGCUAACUACGUGCCAGCAGCCGCGGUGAUACGUAGGGUGCGAGCGUUGUCCGGAAUUAUUGGGCGUAAAGAGCUUGUAGGCGGUUUGUCGCGUCGAUAGUGUAAACACGCAGCUUAACUGUGUGCCUGCUGUCGAUACGGGUUGACUAGAGGAGGGUAGGGGAGAAUGGAAUUCCCGGUGGAGCGGUGGAAUGCGCAGAUAUCGGGAGGAACACCAGUGGCGAAGGCGGUUCUCUGGACCUUUCCUGACGCUGAGAAGCGAAAGCGUGGGUAGCAAACAGG
rnacentral:rRNA from 1 species